CGCGAUACAGGGUGAGAGCCCCGUACACAAAAGCGCACGUGCUGUGAGCUCGAUGAGUAGGGCGGGACACGUGGUAUCCUGUCUGAAUAUGGGGGGACCAUCCUCCAAGGCUAAAUACUCCUGACUGACCGAUAGUGAACCAGUACCGUGAGGGAAAGGCGAAAAGAACCCCGGCGAGGGGAGUGAAACAGAACCUGAAACCGUGUACGUACAAGCAGUGGGAGCCCCACCACUAAGCCAGUGGUGAACUCCACAUACGCAUCCUUUGCUGAGGAUACGGUUAACGGAGCGAAAGCGACGUUCAACCGCAAAAGAAGCAGAGGGGGCUUAGUGGUGGGGUGACUGCGUACCUUUUGUAUAAUGGGUCAGCGACUUAUAUUCUGUAGCAAGGUUAACCGCAUAGGGGAGCCGGAGGGAAACCGAGUCUUAAUUGGGCGUUAAGUUGCAGGGUAUAGACCCGAAACCCGGUGAUCUAGCCAUGGGCAGGUUGAAGGUUGGGUAACACUAACUGGAGGACCGAACCGACUAAUGUUGAAAAAUUAGCGGAUGACCUGUGGCUGGGGGUGAAAGGCCAAUCAAACCGGGAGAUAGCUGGUUCUCCCCGAAAGCUAUUUAGGUAGCGCCUCGUGAAUUCAUCUCCGGGGGUAGAGCACUGUUUCGGCCAGGGGGCCAUCCCGGCUUACCAAUCCGAUGCAAACUGCGAAUACCGGAGAAUGUUAUCACGGGAGACACACGGCGGGUGCUAACGUCCGUCGUGAAGAGGGAAACAACCCAGACCGCCAGCUAAGGUCCCAAAGUCAUGGUUAAGUGGGAAACGAUGUGGGAAGGCCCAGACAGCCAGGAUGUUGGCUUAGAAGCAGCCAUCAUUUAAAGAAAGCGUAAUAGCUCACUGGUCGAGUCGGCCUGCGCGGAAGAUGUAACGGGGCUAAACCAUGCACCGAAGCUGCGGCAGCGACACUGAUGUGUUGUUGGGUAGGGGAGCGUUCUGUAAGCCGUUGAAGGUGGCCUGUGAGGGUUGCUGGAGGUAUCAGAAGUGCGAAUGCUGACAUAAGUAACGAUAAAGCGGGUGAAAAGCCCGCUCGCCGGAAGACCAAGGGUUCCUGUCCAACGUUAAUCGGGGCAGGGUGAGUCGACCCCUAAGGCGAGGCCGAAAGGCGUAGUCGAUGGGAAACGGGUUAAUAUUCCCGUACUUGGUGUUACUGCGAAGGGGGGACGGAGAAGGCUAUGUUGGCCGGGCGACGGUUGUCCCGGUUUAAGCGUGUAGGUGUGUGUUCCAGGUAAAUCCGGUUCACUUUAACACUGAGGCGUGAUGACGAGGCACCACGGUGCUGAAGCAACAAAUGCCCUGCUUCCAGGAAA
rnacentral:rRNA from 1 species